rnacentral:rRNA from 1 species
UACAGAGGUCCCAAGCGUUGUUCGGAUUCACUGGGCGUAAAGGGUGCGUAGGCGGUCGGGUAAGUCUGACGUGAAAUCUCCGAGCCCAACUCGGAAACUGCGUCGGAUACUAUUCGGCUAGAGGAAUGGAGGGGAGACUGGAAUUCUUGGUGUAGCAGUGAAAUGCGUAGAUAUCAAGAGGAACACCAGUGGCGAAGGCGAGUCCCUGGACAACUUCUGACGCUGAGGCACGAAAGCUAGGGGAGCAAACAGG